rfam:Heligmosomoides polygyrus genome assembly, scaffold: HPBE_scaffold0009476
CCAACGGCCCUCUUUAGGGCCACAUAUCUGCUACACGAAUCGAAA